ensembl:lncRNA LINC01535 long intergenic non-protein coding RNA 1535
GAAAAUGGUGACGCCGAGGGUGACUGAUUUCCAGGUUUACAUCGGUUGCCCCAGGGGAAGUGCCUGGCCCCCAUCUGGUCCUUGCUGCUCUAACUUUGCCCUGUUAAUUGAAGAAAUGCAGGAUCUGGAGCUCAGGACCCACUACCUCCCCGGCCCACUGCAAGCUUGAACAUUUGAUGGUGGACACCCCUCCCUGACUUUGUAUUAUGUGUCACUGGUGUGGGGGUUACCUUCCCACUAUGUCUCCCAGAAGACAUGAGGGCACAGACUACAGUGCCUGUGGACAGAGGAGCUGUGGGGAUGGAAGUGUGAUUGCUUCAUUCAAAUGCACGCCCCGGUGCGUGUGCGUCUCUUCUGAUGCAGCUCCCCAUGGAUACCCCAUCAGCCUGAGUCUCUUAAAGGCCUUUAUACACAUAUGUCUACACAUAGGGAUUUGGAUGAUCUCGGGAUCCCACAUCCUCGCUGUCCCCUGUCCCCCCACAACAUCCCACACCAAUACCUUUCUGAAGUUUUCUAGUCCCUCCUUUUUGUUUGUGGUCCUUAAAGCCCAGCCCCAUGCCUGACUUUGGUUCCCAGUGAGCAUUGUACAUUUGUGGAUAUUAAAUCUUUGGCAAAGUCAUUUA